CCUGACCCCCUUCAAUGCCCAUCCCCCAAAAGAUAAACACACAGAUGUCAAGUUUCUGUGAGUACCUCCGAUGUUGUCGCAAUCAUAAUCAUCGUCGUAUAUAGCACCAAUUCAUGCAUCUUCCCUAAAAUUCGACAGAAUAGGCAUGUUUUAGGUUCAAGUUCACGUACCAAAGAUGGGUUCCCGACCACGUCUCCUCCUCCUUGCGUAGUCGCCUUCAUGUAAGCAAACCAACUUGAUGGCAAGAUUUUCUGCAUACAGUAAAAGAACACUCCAAAAGAUUCAAGAUUAAUGAUUGAUAUUACUAAUGUAAUCAUUCAUGCUGUAAGUAUUGUCCAAAGCUACUCUUCUCUGAUAAAUCAAUCAACGAAGAUGAGAUAAGAGUUCCUAUAACAAUAAUGGAACAGGUCGAUCCUGGAAACAAGCCAUACUAUAACAAUUCGAUCUGCCUGUCAAGUUGAUCACUUUAGGUAAAGUAAAGUUCCAAUCAACUGAAAGGAAUGGAACUUUACUUUAGGUUCCUUCUGCAAUGUAAUAUUUCCUAAUUGGAUGCUGAUUGUUAUCUGUAUAAUAAGUUUGGCCUGAAUCCAUUCUACGGGAGCUACUUAUCGGGGACUAGUGUUACUGAUAACAAUGCUUACCAUGUCAAGACUUGAAUUUCAAUCCAUAAAGGCUAAUCUUUACCAAUUAUAUGAAUGAAGAACAUCUUCAUGUCCAGUGCCUAUCUAACAAGUGACAACACACAACUUAUCUCUGCAGGCAUCGACUUCCAACUACAUUAGAAAACUAGUUGCUCAAUCAACCAGUCGAAAACUGCGCACAAGGGUUUAUUCUCCCUUAGGAGUUUGUCUCCGAGGGUAGCGUUUGUUGCAGGGAAGUCGGAGGCAGUGCUUUAAACUUCCCAGAAUGUUGUUGGAAGCUUUUGAUGGAGUGCUUCUCUCAUCACCGCCUCUUGGUUGGUUGCUGAAUUUAUGAUAUGAGAAACACCCUCUUAUGGUGUGAGUCAAAUUAUAGUCACAUUGAGAGGUAACAUCAUUUUGGGUGUCCAGUAAAUUCCUUGCAGAUUCAUCGUCAUCACCGUUGUUUUGAUGUUUAUCCCACGAGUAAGCUGAGCUGAAAAUUGUUGAAAUAAUACAAUGAGUUACAGAUCUAGAACUGUUUAUAAUCAAUUUGUGGAAAGCUGUUAAAAUGGAUCAUCAACAAAAAGGAGAUGAGGAGCUAUUGAACAGGGUAUAAGUGCUAAUAAACAGUACAAGAUUAACUAGAGAUGUGAGCUUGGAUUACUUACUAGUCACAUUCAUCAUCCGAGUCAAGCUCCUCAGGUCUUGAUGGUACCCCGGCCAAUUGAUGGGCAUAUGAUGCAUGAUGAAUGAACUGCAGCUAAAGGAGCAAAAAAGACUUCAAAGUUGUCAUUCAGAGCGUAAGUGUAACAUAAAGAUUCUAACAUGGAGAUGUUUCAAGUUCAACCAGAAGCAGCAUUGUGUGAGAAAGGGCACCAACAAAGUGAAGACAAUAGUAUAAAAUUGAAUUGCAGUUGUAGUAUGCCUUGUUGUAACCCUUGAUGUUAAGAGACAUUUACUUUUAGGUUUAAA